rnacentral:antisense_RNA from 1 species
GGGUGCUCAGGAUCUUAUGUCCUGAGCCAUUCUGGUAAGGGACGUAAAGAGAAAAAGCCCCACAUGAUGUUCAUCACGUGAGGCUGCUCCUUACAUCUCGACAAUGUGAGGGUAGCCUUUUGCCAGCUGUAAAGCAAUGGAGAAAGGAGGCCAAAGAUG